GCGGGCGUCAGCUGACUGUUCUGCUGCCACCGCCGCUGCUGCUGCUGCCGCCGCGACCCGGCGGGGCCGCCGCCGCCGUCGCCGCCGCCGCCGCCGCCGCCGCUGCUACCAUGGCUCAAUACAAGGGCGCCGCGAGCGAGGCCGGCCGCGCCAUGCACCUGAUGAAGAAGCGGGAGAAGCAGCGCGAGCAGAUGGAGCAGAUGAAGCAGCGCAUCGCGGAGGAGAACAUCAUGAAAUCCAACAUUGACAAGAAGUUCUCUGCGCACUACGACGCGGUGGAGGCAGAGCUCAAGUCCAGCACCGUGGGUCUUGUGACCCUGAAUGACAUGAAGGCCAAGCAGGAGGCUCUGGUGAAGGAGCGGGAGAAGCAGCUGGCCAAGAAGGAGCAGUCCAAGGAGCUGCAGAUGAAGCUGGAGAAGCUUCGAGAGAAGGAGCGUAAGAAGGAAGCCAAGCGGAAGAUCUCCAGCCUGUCCUUCACCCUGGAGGAGGAAGAAGAGGGAGGCGAGGAGGAAGAGGAGGCAGCUAUGUAUGAGGAGGAGAUGGAAAGGGAAGAGAUCACCACGAAGAAGAGAAAACUGGGGAAGAACCCAGACGUGGACACAAGCUUCUUGCCUGAUCGAGACCGUGAGGAGGAGGAGAAUCGGCUUCGGGAAGAGCUGCGGCAGGAGUGGGAAGCCAAGCAGGAGAAGAUCAAGAGCGAGGAGAUCGAGAUCACCUUCAGCUACUGGGAUGGCUCUGGGCACCGGCGGACGGUCAAGAUGAGAAAGGGCAACACCAUGCAGCAGUUCCUGCAGAAGGCGCUCGAGAUUCUUCGGAAAGACUUCAGUGAGCUCAGGUCCGCAGGGGUGGAGCAGCUCAUGUACAUCAAGGAGGACUUGAUCAUCCCACACGUGAGUCCCUUCAGUCCCAGGACCCACAGUGGGUGCUGCGCCCUGGGCUUUGGCUCAGGCUGGUGGGGGUGGUGUGCGCAGGCGGGGGGGGGGGGGGGGGGAGGGGCCGAGAUGGGCCAUCAAAGCGCCACUUUCCUGCCCUUGACUCCCAGCAUCACAGCUUCUACGAUUUUAUCGUCACCAAGGCACGGGGGAAGAGUGGGCCGCUCUUCAACUUUGAUGUUCAUGACGAUGUGCGGUUGCUCAGUGACGCCACUGUGGAGAAGGAUGAGUCACAUGCAGGCAAGGUGGUGCUGAGAAGCUGGUACGAGAAGAACAAGCACAUCUUCCCUGCCAGCCGCUGGGAACCCUACGACCCUGAAAAGAAGUGGGACAAGUACACGAUCCGCUGAGCAUCUGGGAGGCUGCGCAGCCUUGGCUCCUCAGCUCCCUCAGCGUGCCCCGUGGUGUCCCCGGGACUCCAGGCACCUGCUCCCCUGCGACCAUGCCAGGCACGCUGGGAAGGAGGAUGGCAGCUGCUUGUGUCCUGCCCCCGGCACGUCAGUGACUGCUUUAUUCUUUUCCAAUAAAGAAGUGCACAUGUGAGAGCUGGAGCGCCUGCAGUGUGAGAAGCCA